ACAUAGCAGCGGGCUUGGCGCUUCUCGGCGGUCCGACGCUGAUGAGGAACCAGAGUGAGGGUACUCGAACAGUGACUGCCAUCUGGUGGUUAACCAGAAUCAUCACCUUGUGUAGCCUGAUGGUUACUAAGAUGUCCACUCUUGACUCACAUGGCAUGCACUCGCAGCAGGGGACCAGUUGAAGGAUGUCUGAUUUUGGAGGGCGACCAGUUGAAGGAUGUCUGAUGAAGGAGCCUAGCGAAAUAACCCUUUGCUUCUACCUGAAUGAGUUGUUCACUCUGGAUUCUGAGCCUGCAGCCAGCUCCAAAAUGGGGCCUCUGAAGAAAAGAUUUGAGUUGCUCUUGUGUCUUAGUCAAAGAUCUACAUCCCUACCAGUGGGUAACCAAGACUGUGAAUAAGCACACACCAACAGGGGCAUGUGGUGACAUGGAGCCUGAAAUAAACUGCUCUGAAUUGUGUGACAGUUUUCCUGGCCAGGAGCUGGAUCGGAGACCCCUUCAUGAUCUCUGCAAGACAACAAUUACAUCUUCCCACCACAGCAGUAAGACCAUCUCUUCAUUAUCUCCUGUCCUCUUGGGUAUUGUUUGGACUUUUCUCAGCUGUGGACUUCUGCUGAUACUUUUCUUUCUUGCCUUUACAAUUCGCUGCAGGAAGAACAGGUAAGCAGCCCAGUUUCUCAUCACACAUAGCUCAAUCAUGAAACCCCAAAUGUUAGUAUCUUUUGGCAGCACAAGCCACUAUCUGGUCUCCCACUACAGGAUUAAACCACAUGAGACAUUCCCUCUGAAAUAGUCUACCUGUUGAGAAGGGGAAAGUUCUAGGUCGGUAUUGUGCUAACUACUGCAAGGGUAUCCAAAGAAGAGAAUGAAGAGUCUCUCUCUAUAAUGGAGGUACAAUCCUUCUGAGAAGAUGAGGUAUCUGUAUUUAAAAUGAAGACCAUGUAGAGGAUUCCAAAACAACACAAAAACUUGAGGACAGCACAGCAGAACCAGUCUGGGUGAGUUAGGGUUUCUGCAAAAGCAGUGAAGCACUGCUACCUGGCUAUUUGCUAGAUAAUUCUGGCUGACUAGAAAGUCAUCAGCUCAUCAGGGUAAGUAUGGCUCCCAGGAUUCGCAAAAGAAGCAAAAUGGUGACUUUUUUCUGAAGGGACUUAUAGCACCUUGCCUUGGAUGCAAUUUCAUCCUUCCUCAGGGCCCAUCCCAUCUCUCCCACCCCAACACUGUACCCUCAUCCUACCACAGCCGUCCCAGGGUGCCUCAUGAGAAGCCCUGCUCCAGCCCUCUCCUUAGCCCACAGCUGACUUCUAGAUGGAGCCCACAAUCAGAAAUUAACAACUUCCUCAAACCAGCCAAACUCGUCUAGCCCCACUCCAGCCUUACCCUGUGUGGUGACCAAGCAUGUCGUGCUCCAUUGCCUGUGGAUUUGACACUCAGAUGAGA
rnacentral:sRNA from 1 species